UUGCCUGACCCGGAAGUAGUCGUAAUCAGGGAAAAAUAAACAAACGGAAUCGUGGCCGGUGUCCUGUCUACCUGUCGAGUUGAGCUACUGACUCCUAAACGUUUUCACAGUUUAAAUGACCAUCGAUUUGUGCUCCUCCAGGCAGAAGGGAGUCAUAUUUUUUUUUCCAUUUGUGAAGGCUUAUAGGUAUGGAGCAGAGGUGACAGGAGAAUCUACAUGACCUGUCUGAGAGGAAACACCCAGACAGGUCAAAGAAAUCUCAAAAAUGAAGCUGAAGGAGAUAUGCUGAGAGGUUUAGACUAAAAGGUGAGUAGGCAAAGGUGUAUUCAAAUAUAUCUAUGUUUUGGUAAAAUGUCUUUUUGUUUCUAUGUACUUUAUGAAUGUUCCGUGCAGAAGGACAGCUCUUCUAUGGGAACACAAAGAUGAUCCAGUCCCCAACAGAAGCCAGAUCACUGGCUGGAUGAUGAUGGAAGUGACAAUUCAAACAAAGUAUUACCAAACCACAAUGUGGUUUUUUCCCUAUUACUGAUUUUUUUUUUUGGGUGUGUGUGCUUGUUUUUGUAAUACAGGUAAUUGAUGCAUACAUUCAUAUCCUUGUUGAAAAACAGCAGGCAAAUGCUGGAUGUAAAACUAUAUUGUUCUCAAUGCAUGUGUACUUAAUACACUAUACACUCAAUACACACGAACUAACACACACUUAAUUUUUUUUAACAGGGAUCCAUUCAUCAGCUCUGUGCUGUGGUAGCUGGAAGUUUGUUUUCCAGAAGAUUUCAGCCUCUUAGAAAAGCAGUCUAUUUGUUUGUUUUUAUCUAGCCAUAUCACCUAACACCAGUAACCUGAAUUAACAAUAAUUUGAUAUAAAACCCAUUCUUCAGAUGAAAUUUCCAGUGUUAAAAAGAUGGAUUUGUCCUGUAAAUGUAGGUGCUCACUGGAUUUUAGUGGUUUUCUACUAUUUUCCUCAGACCUAUUUCUGAGAUGUGUGUGUGUAUAUAUAUAUAUAUAUAUAUAUAUAUAUAUAUAUAUAUAUAUAUAUACAUACAUAUAUACAUGCAUUUCAGUUGACCUGAUGCAUGUCCUAGUGUGAUGGAAUAACAUGAAUACAGUAAUCAUUUAUAGAUGGUCACCAUGUCACAGAGGACACUGCUACUUGUUGAUCCACACAAGUAUAUUGUGUAUUUCGUAUGCUUGUUAUGCUUUUUAAACAAUAAUUAGGAAUUUCUUGAGGAUGGUGGGCCAUGAAGUCCAAGGAGAUAAAUGGACUGUAAAAACUGUUCACCACAACAAGCAGCAAGAUGCCAGUAGGUGUGGGAUUUAGGUGUUAAAGUUUGCAGAAGGGUUUCUCAACAAUGGAGACAUCGCAAGCAUCCAGACCCAUCCUGCAGAGGUUUUAAAGGCUCAAUAGGAAGCAGCAUGUGCCCUCCUACAGGUGGGAGGUCUGUGGGAAGAAACAUGAAGCCACCACGGAUGGGAUCAAUACGGACACCACAUGUCCCUCACAAGAUCAAACUA